UUUAGGUUAUUCUAAGUUGGCGAAAAUAUCUGAUUACUUGUUGUUAGUUUGUUUUAGAAGCGCGCCGCCAUGUUGGAUACUGCCGAAAGUCUCGUGAAGUCUCGUUCCACUCCUACCGCAUAGCUCCACCCGCACCUACCGGGACAUCUUAACUUUGCAAAGAGGAACGUUCUGAGUAUGGGAGCAACAAAUAUGAUCAAGAAAGUGAAGCAGUGUGUCACUGGAGAGAUUACCUACUAGAAACGGAGAUGGGAAUCACUGAUGUCACACUGGAAGAGAUACUUGUUUUUGCAACAGGAAGUGACCCUGCUCUUGGCUUUGACCCUCAGCCUACAGUACAGUUCCUUUAUGAUUCAUCCAGGUAUCCCCAGGCCAACAUUUGUGCUAAUAUCCUAAAAAUACCAUGCAAGGCCUCAUACGAUGAUUUCAAGUGUGACAUGGACUUUGGAAUAAAAAAUUCGCCAGGGUUUGGAGUAGCAUAAAUUGCUGUUUUUUCUGUAAUGCUAAUACUUCAUUCCAGUUUGUGGGACACUAACAUUCUGCAGUGUUCAAUUUUAUUGACAGCAUUAUAUGUCAACAGUUCACUGAAAUGCCCUCUUGUGGCAAUGUCAUUUUUUACAAAUAAAUGUCAUUUUGAACAGUGA